CAGGAGGUGAAGGAGAGUUCAGCUCAGAGCCAGCAUGGGAAGGAUGCAUAACCUAGAUAUUGUGUUGCUCUUCCAUUGAAACAGAGUUUCCUGCAACCCAGGCUAGCCUCAAAGUCACUGAGUAGUGGAGGAAGACCUUGAACUCCUUCCUCCUGCUUCUGCCUCCUGGGUGCCGGGAUUGCAGGUGUCCUUCAACAGACAGAUGAAACAAGCCUACGUGUGGGUCAGCUGGGGAAGACAUCAGGAGCAGGUGCUCUCAGGAAUCUAACCCUGAAUUUCCCAGGGGAAAAUGACACACACACACAGUGACUUCUGUGCUUUGGAGCAGAAACCUUGGCACAGUAAAAACACUACAGUCCCUGGACACUAGUUGACUUUGAUCCACAGCCCUAAAGGCAGAACUCGUCAGAUUUGCUUGAUAUGGUCCUAUGCACGUAGGAAAGUUCAUGUGUGUUCAGAGUCAAGGCUGCGGCGAGGUCAUAAUUCAGCACAGGUGCUCUUCCUGCCUCAAGCCCCCACUGCAAGUCAACACUCAGUCCCAACAGCACUGCCUUCCACAGGGUCCCACCUCAAGCCGACCCGGUUUAGGUCUCAUUGAGAAGUCUUGGAAUUCUAGAGUGGAUAUUGAAGCUAGAAAGACUCAGAAGUUCACACUGGUCAACAACCACCUGUGGUAAAGACUGAGAAUAAGCACUUGGCCUUAGAGAUGGCAGGGCCCAGUCCUGCAUUCCUCCCAGGAUGGCUUAGACUGAUAAAAGAUGGAGACUGAGACGCAGACCUGGAUAUGUGUGGCUGAAGGAGACUAUGUCACCCCAACACUCAGGGAGGGACUGGUGGCCAACUCUAACCAUGGGCUGAGCACUCAACAGAGGAGCCUUUCUUCUCUCUGACCCUCAGUUUCCCCACCUGUAAAAUGAAGAGGUGAAUGGAGAAA